rnacentral:piRNA from 1 species
UAUUUUGAAAUGGUAUUUGUUUGCAGGC